CCUACGGGGGGCUGCAGUGAGGAAUAUUGCGCAAUGGAGGAAACUCUGACGCAGCCACGCCGCGUGAAGGAUGACACCCCUCUGGGGCGUAAACUUCUUUUAUAUGGGAAGAAACCUCUGUUCUUCAGAGACUGACGGUACCAUAUGAAUAAGCACCGGCUAACUCCGUGCCAGCAGCCGCGGUAAUACGGAGGGUGCAAGCGUUGUCCGGAAUCAUUGGGUGUAAAGGGUGUGUAGGCGGGACUGUAAGUCAGGGGUGAAAGCCCGCAGCUUAACUGCGGAAUUGCCCUUGAUACUGCAGGCCUUGAGUCCUGGAGGGGCUACUAGAAUUCGUGGUGUAGCGGUGAAAUGCGUAGAUAUCACGAGGAAUACCAAAGGCGUAGGCAGGUAGCUGGACAGGUACUGACGCUGAGGCACGAAAGCGUGGGGAGCAAACAGGA
rnacentral:rRNA from 1 species